rnacentral:rRNA from 1 species
AUUGAACGCUGGCGGCAUGCUUUACACAUGCAAGUCGAACGGUAACAGGCCGCAAGGUGCUGACGAGUGGCGAACGGGUGAGUAAUGCACCGGAACGUGCCCAGUCGUGGGGGUUAACUACUCGAAAGAGUAGCUAAUAUCGCAUACGAUCUAUGGAUGAACGCGGGGGACCGUAAGGCCCAGCGCGAUCGGAGCGGCCGAUGUCGGAUUAGGUAGUUGGUGGGGUAAAGGUUCACCAAGCCAACGACCUGUAGCUGGUCUGAGAGGACGACCAGCCACACUGGAACUGGGACACGGCCCAGGCUCCUACGGGAGGCAGCAGUGGGGAAUGUGAGACAGUGGGCGCAAGCCUGAUCCAGCAAUGCCGCGUGCAGGAAGAAGGCCUUCGGGUUGUAAACUGCUUUUGUACGGAACGAAACGGCUCUGGUUAAUACCCGGGGCUAAUGACGGUACCGUAAGAAUAAGCACCGGCUAACUACGUG